ACACCGGCAGCUCUAGUGGUAGCAAUUUUUAUUGGGCCUAAAGCGUCCGUAGCCGGUUUAAUAAGUCUCUGGUGAAAUCCUGCAGCUUAACUGUGGGAAUUGCUGGAGAUACUAUUAGACUUGAGACCGGGAGAGGUUGGAGGUACUCCCAGGGUAGAGGUGAAAUUCUGUAAUCCUGGGAGGACCGCCUGUUGCGAAGGCGUCUAACUGGAACGGUUCUGACGGUGAGGGACGAAAGUUAGGGGCGCGAACCGGAUUAGAUACCCGGGUAGUCCUAACUGUAAACGAUGCGGACUUGGUGUUGGGGUGGCUUUGAGCUGUCCCAGUGCCGAAGGGAAGCUGUUAAGUCCGCCGCCUGGGAAGUACGGUCGCAAGACUGAAACUCAAAGGAAUUGGCGGGG
rnacentral:rRNA from 1 species